UACGUAGGGGGCAAGCGUUGUCCGGAUUUACUGGGCGUAAAGAGCGUGUAGGCGGCCACGCAGGUCCGUUGUGAAAACUGGAGGCUCAACCUUCAGACGUCGACGGAAACCGUGUGGCUAGAGUCCGGAAGAGGAGAGUGGAAUUCCUGGUGUAGCGGUGAAAUGCGCAGAUAUCAGGAAGAACACCAAUGGCGAAGGCAGCUCUCUGGGACGGUACUGACGCUGAGGUGCGAAAGCGUGGGGAGCAAACAGG
rnacentral:rRNA from 1 species